UCCUGACUCUAGCUCAGUUGGUAGAGCAUAAGCAUUUUAAGCAUCUUAAUCUCAGGGUUGUUGGUACGAGCCCCAUGUUGGGUAA